UUAAGCUACUAAGAGCAUAGGGAGAAUGCCUAGGUACCAAAAGCCGAAGAAAGACGUGAUAAGCUGCGAAAAGCCACGGGGAGAAGCAAAUAUUCAAUAAUCCGUGGAUGUCUGAAUGAGGAAACUCUAACCAAGAAAAAAGUUGGUUAAUCCAUACAUGAGUAAAGUAGUGUAUAGGAGGGGAACGUGGGGAACUGAAACAUCUAAGUACCCACAGGAAAAGAAAGAAAACUCGAUUCCUAAAGUAGUGGCGAGCGAAAUAGGAAGAGCCCAAACCAGAAGAAGAAAUUCAUCUGGGGUUCGGACUACAUAAUUGAUUCAAUGAGUUUAGUAAAAUUGUUUGGGAAAGCAAACCAAAGACGGUGAAAGUCCAGUAUACGAAAAACAAGUUGACAAGGUAGAAUCCAGAGUAGUGCGAGACACGUGAAAUCUCGUAUGAAAGAGCGGGGACCACCCCGUAAGGCUAAAUACUAAUUGGUAACCGAUAGUGAAGAAGUACCGUGAGGGAAAGUUGAAAAGAACCCCGGGAGGGGAGUGAAAUAGAACCUGAAACCCUAUGUUUACAAGCAGACAAAGCACGUUAAGGUGCGAUGUCGUACUUUUUGUAGAACGGUCCGGCGAGUUAUUUUAUAUGGCAAGGUUAAGUACUAAAGGUACGGAGCCGAAGAGAAAUCGAGUCUGAAGAGGGCGAAUAAGUCAUAUGAAAUAGACCCGAAACCGAGUGACCUAUCCAUGUCCAGGCUGAAGCUUGAGUAAAAUCAAGUGGAGGGCCGAACUCAUAGACGUUAAAAAGUCUCGGGAUGAGGUGUGGAUAGCGGAGAAAUUCCAAUCGAACUCGGAGAUAGCUGGUUCUCCUCGAAAUAGUUUUAGGACUAGCCUUGUUUCGUAGCAUUUGGGGGUAGAGCACUGAAUGAGGUAGGGGCCAACACGGUUACUGAACUCUAUCAAACUACGAAUACCAAAUGUGUAAGAACAAGAGUCAGACUGCGGGAGCUAAGUUCCGUGGUCAAAAGGGAAAGAGCCCAGAUCGUCAAUUAAGGUCCCAAAGAUAUAGUUAAGUGGAAAACGAUGUGAUUUUGCGUAAACAACCAGGAUGUUGGCUUAGAAGCAGCCAUUCAUUCAAAGAGUGCGUAAUAGCUCACUGGUCGAGUGAAGUUGCGCGGAAAAUUACCGGGGCUAAACUAUACACCGAAAUUGCGGAUUUGCAUAGAAAUAUGUAAGUGGUAGAGGAGCAUUCUAUAGUAGGACGAAGCAUAAUCGAAAGGAUAUGUGGACGAGAUAGAAGAGAGAAUGCCGGAAUAAGUAGCGAAAGCAUGGUGAGAAUCCAUGCCAUCGAAAGUCUAAGGUUUCCUGGGGAAGGUUCGUCCGCCCAGGGUAAGUCGGGACCUAAGGAGAGGCCGAAAAGCGUAUCCGAUGGACAGCAGGUAGAAAUUCCUGCACUACGUAAUACUUAAAAGACAUAAAUGACACAGGAGUGGAAGAUAAGCGAGGAAGAGGAAAGACUCGUAUCGAAAGAUAUAGUGAAAAUUAAAGUAACGAAUUAUCAAGAAGCUAAUGGCGAGAAAAGUUUAUGGAUAUUGUAUUAAGUACCCGUACCGCAAACCGACACAGGUAGAUGAGGAGAAGAUCCUAAGAUGAGCGAGAGAAGCAUUGUUAAGGAACUCGGCAAACUGACCCCGUAACUUCGGAAUAAGGGGUGCUGGAGUAGAAUCCAGUCGCAGAGAAUAGUCCCAAGCAACUGUUUAACAAAAACACAGGUUUCUGCUAAAUCGAAAGAUGAAGUAUAGGAGCUGACACCUGCCCAGUGCUGGAAGGUUAAGGGAAAGAGUUAGGAGUAAUCCGAAGCUUAGAACUAAAGCCCCAGUGAACGGCGGCCGUAACUAUAACGGUCCUAAGGUAGCGAAAUUCCUUGUCAGGUAAGUUCUGACCCGC
rnacentral:rRNA from 1 species